AGUGAACGCUGGCGGUAGGCCUAACACAUGCAAGUCGAACGGCAGCACAGUAAGAGCUUGCUCUUACGGGUGGCGAGUGGCGGACGGGUGAGGCAUACAUCGGAAUCUACUUUUUCGUGGGGGAUAACGUAGGGAAACUUACGCUAAUACCGCAUACGACCUACGGGUGAAAGCAGGGGAUCUUCGGACCUUGCGCGAUUGAAUGAGCCGAUGUCGGAUUAGCUAGUUGGCGGGGUAAAGGCCCACCAAGGCGACGAUCCGUAGCUGGUCUGAGAGGAUGAUCAGCCACACUGGAACUGAGACACGGUCCAGACUCCUACGGGAGGCAGCAGUAGGGAAUAUUGGACAAUGGGCGCAAGCCUGAUCCAGCCAUACCGCGUGAGUGAAGAAGGCCUUCGGGUUGUAAAGCCCUUUUGUUGGGAAAGAAAAGCAGCAGGUUAAUACCCCGCUGUUCUGACGGUACCCAAAGAAUAAGCACCGGCUAACUUCGUG
rnacentral:rRNA from 1 species